rnacentral:sRNA from 1 species
CCCCCCGGCCGAUGCUGCGUGCCUGUGAUAUGUACACAUAUGAUCCCCAUUUGAACUAGUCAACUAUUCGGCGAGCAAAAAUUGUGGAUGAGACAAACUAUUGCGCGAUGCCCUGCAUGACCAUUCACGCAGUAGUUGAGAUCUCUGAUGGUUUGAAUGAACUCAUCCACCGGCAUAGAUCCAUUUGGAGGACUUGAGUUGCAAUUGUUUAAAGUACUUUCCGGACGACACUUGAGUUACACCCUUUUCAAGAUGAAUGAACUUGCCCAAUUGGUCAAAAUUUAGGCCACGUCCUGCUUCGGCGAAUUUGUUCCUACAGUAAAUAUUCCAGCUACAUGAAUACAUAUUUGUUUGAAAUCAGGAAACACCAUGCACAUACACAUGUGCAUGGUGAACAGCCCUUUUACUUGAAAACUCGCGCUUAUUGUUGUUUAUUGCAUCUUAAAUACCAUUUUCAUUAAUUUGUAAAAUGUAAAUGUUUACAUAUUAAGCAUGCAUUGGUUU